CAAGCUGAUUUAGUCGCUGUCACUCGCUCGCUAUCGGCCGAUACAGAUGUUGAACCGAUGUAUCCCUCGUAUCUGGUUAAAGCUUCUUAAAUAGGAGGACUUGCAGCAUUUUGUGUCGUGUUAAAGUAUAAACGAAUCCGUUGUUCAUGAAAUAGUGACCUCAGUGCGUCUGAAGGUGCGUGAUCUUUAAAGGUGUUAUCACGUCCUCCAGGUGAGCUGGUGCUGUGCAGAGCACCUGCUCAGACACUGCGGUGUGAAGACAUCGAUCCAUCCUCCGGACGGGGCGCCACACAGGGGACGCCGGCUGCAGGUGAGACGGCCAAACCGACGACCGCGGUCAUCAAAGUGGAGGACGACGAUGAGACCUGGGGCUGCUCUGCUCAGGACACAGAUCUUAUUCCUGUUGUUGACGAACAGACGACAGACGCAGAAGCUCCGCCCCUGCUGACUAAACAGGAAGUAACGGAGGAAGGUGGCGGUUCUACUCGAGCUUGGGCGAGCGAGGAAGUCAGCUCCACUUCAGUGUGCGUCCAGAAUA